rnacentral:rRNA from 1 species
AAACUGUAGGAUUAGAUACCCUAUUAUUUAUUAGAGUUAUAUUGGGAGUAUGUAAAGAUUGUGAAAUCAAAAGAUUAUGGCGGUAUUUUAAGCUUUUUAGAGGAAUUUGCUCUGUAAUUGAUAUGACACCAAUAUCUGACUUAAUUUUGUGGCAGUUUGUAUAUCGCUAUGUUGGAAUUAUAUUAAAAGGUUAUAAUUAGGAGAUAUUAUUUUAGAAUGUUAGGUCAAGAUGCAGCAUAUAUUUGAGGUUGAAGUGAAUUACGAAAAUUUUUAUUAGUUGAAAAGAAUGUAUUAAUAUAGGAUUUAAAAGUAAAAUGGAAUUAUAAUGUUUAUUUGAAUUAAGCUCUAGAAUAUGUACAUAUCGCCCGUCGCUCUCAGCUCUGAGAUAAGUCGUAACAUAG